GACGAACGCUGGCGGCGUGCUUAACACAUGCAAGUCGAACGGUAAGGCCCCUUCGGGGGUACACGAGUGGCGAACGGGUGAGUAACACGUGGGUGAUCUGCCUUGCACUUCGGGAUAAGCCUGGGAAACUGGGUCUAAUACCGGAUAUGACCGCAUGCUUCAUGGUGUGUGGUGGAAAGUUUUUCGGUGCAAGAUGAGCCCGCGGCCUAUCAGCUUGUUGGUGGGGUAAUGGCCUACCAAGGCGACGACGGGUAGCCGGCCUGAGAGGGCGACCGGCCGCACUGGGACUGAGACACGGCCCAGACUCCUACGGGAGGCAGCAGUGGGGAAUAUUGCACAAUGGGCGGAAGCCUGAUGCAGCGACGCCGCGUGAGGGAUGACGGCCUUCGGGUUGUAAACCUCUUUCAGCAGGGACGAAGCGCAAGUGACGGUACCUGCAGAAGAAGCACCGGCUAACUAC
rnacentral:rRNA from 1 species